GUGGGGAAUAUUGGACAAUGGGCGAAAGCCUGAUCCAGCCAUGCCGCGUGUGUGAAGAAGGUCUUCGGAUUGUAAAGCACUUUAAGUUGGGAGGAAGGGCAGUAAGUUAAUACCUUGCUGUUUUGACGUUACCGACAGAAUAAGCACCGGCUAACUUCGUGCCAGCAGCCGCGGUAAUACGAAGGGUGCAAGCGUUAAUCGGAAUUACUGGGCGUAAAGCGCGCGUAGGUGGUUUUGUAAGUUGGAGGUGAAAUCCCCGGGCUCAACCUUGGAACUGCCUCCAAAACUACUGAGCUAGAGUACGGUAGAGGGUAGUGGAAUUUCCUGUGUAGCGGUGAAAUGCGUAGAUAUAGGAAGGAACACCAGUGGCGAAGGCGACUACCUGGACUGAUACUGACACUGAGGUGCGAAAGCGUGGGGAGCAAACAGGAUUAGAAACCCCUGUAGUCC
rnacentral:rRNA from 1 species